CGGUAACAUUUCUAGCUUGCUAGAAGAUGACGAGUGGCGGACGGGUGAGUAAUGCUUGGGAACUUGCCUUUGCGAGGGGGAUAACAGUUGGAAACGACUGCUAAUACCGCAUAAUGUCUUCGGACCAAACGGGGCUUAGGCUCCGGCGCAAAGAGAGGCCCAAGUGAGAUUAGCUAGUUGGUAAGGUAACGGCUUACCAAGGCGACGAUCUCUAGCUGUUCUGAGAGGAAGAUCAGCCACACUGGGACUGAGACACGGCCCAGACUCCUACGGGAGGCAGCAGUGGGGAAUAUUGCACAAUGGGGGAAACCCUGAUGCAGCCAUGCCACGUGUGUGAAGAAGGCCUUCGGGUUGUAAAGCACUUUCAGUUGUGAGGAAAAGUUAGUAGUUAAUACCUGCUAGCCGUGACGUUAACAACAGAAGAAGCACCGGCUAACUCCGUGCCAGCAGCCGCGGUAAUACGGAGGGUGCGAGCGUUAAUCGGAAUUACUGGGCGUAAAGCGCACGCAGGCGGUUUGUUAAGCUAGAUGUGAAAGCCCCGGGCUCAACCUGGGAUGGUCAUUUAGAACUGGCAGACUAGAGUCUUGGAGAGGGGAGUGGAAUUCCAGGUGUAGCGGUGAAAUGCGUAGAUAUCUGGAGGAACAUCAGUGGCGAAGGCGACUCCCUGGCCAAAGACUGACGCUCAUGUGCGAAAGUGUGGGUAGCGAACAGGAUUAGAUACCCUGGUAGUCCACACCGUAAACGCUGUCUACUAGCUGUGUGUGCCUUUAAGGCGUGCGUAGCGAAGCUAACGCGCUAAGUAGACCGCCUGGGGAGUACGGCCGCAAGGUUAAAACUCACAUGAAUUGACGGGGGCCCGCACAAGCGGUGGAGCAUGUGGUUUAAUUCGAUGCAACGCGAAGAACCUUACCUACACUUGACAUGCUGAGAAGUUACUAGAGAUAGUUUCGUGCC
rnacentral:rRNA from 1 species